rnacentral:misc_RNA from 1 species
CAAUAGCCUUAUCCGCGUUAGGGAUCGCAGCGGCAUCCCCGCAGCGGAGCAAGGGAUACAGCGAAGAGCCCGACCGACG